UCCACGCCGCCAAUUUCCUGGUGGCCAAGCACUCCCGCACCCUCCUCUGCCACGUCUGCCACUCGCCUACGCCGUGGAAGGCCGCCGGCCCCAAGCUCGGCCCCACCGUUUCCGUCUGCCACGCCUGCGCUCAUCGCAACCAACACCCAUCUCAAACCACUGAAACCGACUCUGACGAUGAUGAUCGCCAAUAUUCUGCCACUGAGACAGAUGAUUCCAGUGAAGACGAAGAUGAGGCCGAGGCCGAGGACGUGGAUGAGAAUCAAGUGGUGCCGUGGUCGGAUUCGCCGCCGGCCAGCGCCGACGAUGAGGAGAAUGAGAAUGAGAAUGAGAAUGAGAAUGUUUCUCUCUCCUCCUCAAAAAGAGCCCGUGACGACCCUUUCCCGUCUUCUGAGGUAAAAAAAAAAAUCAUCAAAUCGUUUCACAUAUAUAAACGUUGAAAUUGAUGGGUUGGUGAUGAUAAAUUUUGGGUUGG
rnacentral:lncRNA from 1 species